rnacentral:rRNA from 1 species
AUUGAACGCUGGCGGCAGGCUUAACACAUGCAAGUCGAGCGGGGUGAUGGUGCUUGCACUAUCACUUAGCGGCGGACGGGUGAGUAAUGCUUAGGAAUCUGCCUAUUAGUGGGGGACAACAUCUCGAAAGGGAUGCUAAUACCGCAUACGUCCUACGGGAGGAAGCAGGGGAUCACUUGUGACCUUGCGCUAAUAGAUGAGCCUAAGUCGGAUUAGCUAGUUGGUGGGGUAAAGGCCUACCAAGGCGACGAUCUGUAGCGGGUCUGAGAGGAUGAUCCGCCAAACUGGGACAGAGACACGGCCCAGAAUGCUACGGGAGGCAGCAGUGGGGAAUAUUGGACAAUGGGGGGAACCCUGAUCCAGCCAUGCCGCGUGUGUGAAGAAGGCCUUAUGGUUGUAAAGCACUUUAAGCGAGGAGGAGGCUCUUUUGGUUAAUACCCAGAAUGAGUGGACGUUACUCGCAGAAUAAGCAUCGGCUAACUCUGUGCCAGCCGCCGCCGUAA